rnacentral:rRNA from 1 species
UUUAUGGAGAGUUUGAUCCUGGCUCAGAGUGAACGCUGGCGGCGUGCCUAAUACAUGCAAGUCGAACGAUGAAGCUUCUAGCUUGCUAGAAGUGGAUUAGUGGCGCACGGGUGAGUAACGCAUAGGUCAUGUGCCUCUUAGUUUGGGAUAGCCAUUGGAAACGAUGAUUAAUACCAGAUACUCCCUACGGGGGAAAGAUUUAUCGCUAAGAGAUCAGCCUAUGUCCUAUCAGCUUGUUGGUAAGGUAAUGGCUUACCAAGGCUAUGACGGGUAUCCGGCCUGAGAGGGUGAACGGACACACUGGAACUGAGACACGGUCCAGACUCCUACGGGAGGCAGCAGUAGGGAAUAUUGCUCAAUGGGGGAAACCCUGAAGCAGCAACGCCGCGUGGAGGAUGAAGGUUUUAGGAUUGUAAACUCCUUUUGUUAGAGAAGAUAAUGACGGUAUCUAACGAAUAAGCACCGGCUAACUCCGUGCCAGCAGCCGCGGUAAUACGGAGGGUGCAAGCGUUACUCGGAAUCACUGGGCGUAAAGAGCGCGUAGGCGGGAUAGUCAGUCAGGUGUGAAAUCCUAUGGCUUAACCAUAGAACUGCAUUUGAAACUACUAUUCUAGAGUGUGGGAGAGGUAGGUGGAAUUCUUGGUGUAGGGGUAAAAUCCGUAGAGAUCAAGAGGAAUACUCAUUGCGAAGGCGACCUGCUGGAACAUUACUGACGCUGAUUGCGCGAAAGCGUGGGGAGCAAACAGGAUUAGAUACCCUGGUAGUCCACGCCCUAAACGAUGGAUGCUAGUUGUUGGAGGGCUUAGUCUCUCCAGUAAUGCAGCUAACGCAUUAAGCAUCCCGCCUGGGGAGUACGGUCGCAAGAUUAAAACUCAAAGGAAUAGACGGGGACCCGCACAAGCGGUGGAGCAUGUGGUUUAAUUCGAAGAUACACGAAGAACCUUACCUAGGCUUGACAUUGAGAGAAUCCGCUAGAAAUAGUGGAGUGUCUGGCUUGCCAGACCUUGAAAACAGGUGCUGCACGGCUGUCGUCAGCUCGUGUCGUGAGAUGUUGGGUUAAGUCCCGCAACGAGCGCAACCCCCUUUCUUAGUUGCUAACAGGUCAUGCUGAGAACUCUAAGGAUACUGCCUCCGUAAGGAGGAGGAAGGUGGGGACGACGUCAAGUCAUCAUGGCCCUUACGCCUAGGGCUACACACGUGCUACAAUGGGGUGCACAAAGAGAAGCAAUACUGCGAAGUGGAGCCAAUCUUCAAAACGCCUCUCAGUUCGGAUUGUAGGCUGCAACUCGCCUGCAUGAAGCUGGAAUCGCUAGUAAUCGCAAAUCAGCCAUGUUGCGGUGAAUACGUUCCCGGGUCUUGUACUCACCGCCCGUCACACCAUGGGAGUUGUGUUUGCCUUAAGUCAGGAUGCUAAACUAGCUACUGCCCACGGCACACACAGCGACUGGGGUGAAGUCGUAACAAGGUAACCGUAGGUGAACCUGCGGUUGGAUCACCUCCUUUCUAGA